GCAGCCGCCGCGGGAAUACGUAGGGUGCAAGCGUUAAUCGGAAUUACUGGGCGUAAAGCGUGCGCAGGCGGUUAUAUAAGACAGAUGUGAAAUCCCCGGGCUCAACCUGGGAACUGCAUUUGUGACUGUAUAGCUAGAGUACGGCAGAGGGGGAUGGAAUUCCGCGUGUAGCAGUGAAAUGCGUAGAUAUGCGGAGGAACACCGAUGGCGAAGGCAAUCCCCUGGGCCUGUACUGACGCUCAUGCACGAAAGCGUGGGGAGCAAACAGGAUUAGAUACCCGCGUAGUCCCUGUCUCUUAUAA
rnacentral:rRNA from 1 species